UACGUAGGCAGCAAGCGUUGUUCGGAAUUACUGGGCGUAAAGAGUGUGUAGGCGGUGGUCUAAGUCUGUUGUGAAAUCUCCCGGCUUAACUGGGAGGGUGCGGCGGAAACUGGAAUGCUAGAGGAUGGGAGAGGUAAGCGGAAUUCCUGGUGUAGCGGUGAAAUGCGUAGAUAUCGGGAGGAACACCAGUGGCGAAGGCGGCUUUCUGGUCUGCUCUUGACGCUGAGGCGCGAAAGCUAGGGUAGCAAACGGG
rnacentral:rRNA from 1 species